UAAAAUUACCAAUUCAGGGGCAGCAACCCAACAACCGGUUGUCCGAUUCAUCUGAAAAUUUCAGGGCAGAUAGAUCUUGACUUGAUAAACAAUUUGAUCUUGUCAGAUUUGCUCUCAAUGCUUUGGUUUCAGAGUUAUAAGCCAAAAUCUACAUUUUACCCCUAUAUUCUAUUUUUAGCCAUGGCGGCCAUCUUAGUUGGUUGGCCGGGUCA
rnacentral:lncRNA from 1 species